rnacentral:lncRNA from 1 species
UUAUAUAUCUUUAUUCUCAUAAACCAAAGUACAAUGGUACAGAGACAUAUACAAAUAAAUUAACAUAGUAUAAAUUUUAAAUACAAAUGUAAAAUAGAGACAUAAGGUGAUUACCCAGGAGAUUCUAGGCAUUUAAUAAUAAUUCUUAUAAACUUGCACAGAUUGUUUAGUUCAGACGGGUUGCUACUAUUCAUUAGACCUUGAAAUUUUAAAAUAUUUGGUCUGUUUAUAAAAUGAUGCUUUAGUAGCAGUUGUCUACUAUCGUCUAUUGCCGAGCAUUCUAAAAUAUAAUGGAACUCGUCGCCAAUGUCACCGGAAUUGCACAAUGUACAAAUACGAUUUUCUCUCUGAAUGUUUUGCCAUCUACCAAUUUCGAUAGGAAUUUUUGUGUUCAACGUUCUAAAUCUACAAAAAGAAGCAAUAUUUUUGUCAUCUAAAAUAUCAAAGUAGGUUUCGAAAUUUAUACUUUUUUUGAAUAAUUUAUAAUUUAGAGCUUUUGGAGAAUUCUGUACAGUAGCAUACCAUGUCUGUCUGAACUGGUCAGUUAAUCUUAAUUUAACAGUAUCAUACAACCAGUUUUACUUAUAAAAUAUUUAGUGUUCCAUAUAUUUGAUAGCCCACAAUUAUCAAGCACAGAUUUUACAUUCUUACACCAAGCUAUAUUUCCAUUAUAACUACCAGUAACAAGAUUGUAUAGAAUAACAGGAAGUUUCUUAUUUUCCCCAGUUACAAGCUUUUCCCAAUAAUUAAUAGUACGUAAUUUAAUAAAAAUAUCCAGUGGGAAUUAAUCGGCCAAGUUCCCCAUAUAUCAUAUAAUCAGGCGUUGAUUUUUUAAGAUUAAGCAGUAAUUUACAAAAUUUUAGAUGAACACGUUCUAUAACAGAGGUGUUGCCC